GGUCGUCUAUCUGCACGUACAGCACGACAAAUAAUUAACCGCACUUGAAGCUUUCAUAAAAUUAAAAUAAAAACACCAGAACUGUAUACGGUCCCAUAACGAAGACCGACUGCACGUCGAUACGUGAAAUUCCGGAGGGACGUCGGACGUCGUGGCGCGGGGACGUAAUGACGUGUGACGUUAAUCCGCCUACGUUCUAUAACACGUGACACGGGAACAUGAAAGGAGUAUUCUAAAAGCGCCUCGUGUAAACACCUUAAUCACGAUAUUAUACGUCUUAUUCAGAAUAAGGUCCGUGAUUAGAUCACCGCCGUCCGCGUAAACGUACUCGUUGAGGCAAUUUGAUUAAAACAUAAAUCAAUUAAAAAAAAGCUGAGCAGGCCACACCCACUAUGACACACCCACUGAAAAACAGAUCAUAGAGAUGCCAGAAUUUAAUAUUUAAUAUUAGAAUAAAUAAUAUGUCGGGUAUUUAUUAUCAAUGAGCGAUGAUCAUCGUGUGUGAAAGUGAAAGUGUACUACUGAAGACAUCGGUAAAGGUGCAUUAGGUGAGAUUAGGUGAGACCACACCCUUUUACCUGCCCAUGUUCAAGUAGCUCCGCCCCCAGGAUCUACAGCAGCUAAUGGACUCUAUUUUAUAUAAAAUAACUCAACAGGAGGCGGAGCCAAACACAAACAAGCCAAUCCGGCGUUUUCCAAACGGGUUUUCUCGCCGAAUUGCUGAAGCCACGUCUCAAACUGUUCUUUUCUCUUGUUCUGCGCAUCCUCCAGGUUUUCUGUAAAAGUAAGGAAUAAAGUGGCAUUUGGGGCAAACAGGAAGUGAGGAUUGUGUCUGAUUAACAAAGGCUCAUUUAGAUCGGCACUCGCUAUCGGAUGAGGACGUAAUUAAAGUCAUCGCCGUAUGAAUCUGAUUGAUAACGAAGGCUAACGAAGUGCAGGAUGGAUUCUCCGUGUUACCCCAGUGUCUCUCAGCCACUUUAUACUUCUUCGUUUUAUUUCUUUAUUUAUUUUUAUUUCAUGUAGUUUUUUGUUUUUUUUUAAAUCAAUUCAAAUUAAUACGCGAUCACAUGACAUCACCGCCAGCCUUUCUUCUUCCAGUUCUACACUGUAUAAUGUUUCAGCUCAGCUAAGUGACAGUAGCUAAGCUAGCCAGCUAUCUCAGCACAAGAUCGUGCUAUCGUUAGCCUGAUAACUACUGUACAUAGCUAGCCACAAAGUGAUCGAAACACUGAAAUAUACCUACGUUGUGAUAUGUUCUCUGGUUUAUGAUAGUUUUAGGCAGUUAUUAUUGUAACUACCUGUUGCAUAGUUAAAUAAUGUAGUAAAUUUAUAUAUAUUAAGAGCAAACAGGUCUCUAAAUUAAUAGUGUUUAGCUAGGUACAAGUGUUCCAAUUGUUAGCUAGGUACAAGUGCUAGCUGUUUACAGGAAUGCGUAUUUAUAUUUACCGCCACAUCCUCCGCCAAACACGGAAAGUUUGGGGGGGAAAAUAUACAUAAAGCUAAUUAUAUCGCUAAUUUUAAUGAAGAAUUCCACCGGCGCUGAAUUGGAUCCUCCCCAUUAUGACGGCUGCACUGACGUGUCAUAAGAACUAGCAACGAUCUGACUGGGUUUUUACUAGAUAAAUCUAUGGUUUGAAUGAAUGAACGAGACAGGAGAGACAAGCGAUGCGUGAGAACUGUACAUGAACAGGUACAGGAAACAAUGACCAUAUAAGGAAAAAAGAUCCCACACUAUGGCUCAGAAGCUGUUUGUUUAGUUUAUAGAUAGUUUUUCGUCCAUUUGGAGGUAAAUGUGUGUGCGCGCGCGCGUGUGUGUGUGUGUGCGUGUGUGUGUGUUUGUGUACGUAAAGGAACAGGAAGUGCUCAGAAAGUUUUUUUCUCCAGCACGCGGCGGUGCUUUAAAGAAAGUUUUGAGAGCACAGGAAGUCAUCGCCAUGCAGCGGGAGGAGAGAGCACAGCUCUGAGAAUGACAACACACUCCAUUUACAUUCACCCGAACACACACACACACACACACACACACAUCCCUCCUUCUUCCUCUGUUCUUCUUCUCUCGCUCUCUUCUCUCUCUCUUCUCUCUUUUCCCUGUCUGAAAUCUGAAAUCUAUCAAUCAAAAUCUCAGGAAGUUUUUAUGGUCGCGUCAGAGUGAGAGAAAAGUUACAAAUGCAAAGUUUAACCUAGAUUUACAUUUCCUCAUGGAGAUAGACUGAACGAGAGAGAGAGAGAGAGAGAGAGAGAGAGAGAGAGAUUAUGAGAAAAAAGCAGAAAUUAAGAAAAACAAAAGUGGCAGAAUGUGAUAAGAAUGAAAGAAAGGCAAAAUGAAAGAAAGAAUAAAAAACAGAAGAAGUGACUGAGUGAAAGAAAGAAAGAAAGAAAGACAAAAUGAAUGAAGGAAAGAAAGGACGGCGCUCGUCAUCAGGACGUAAUUAAAUCAUCGUAAAAAGUUGUAGUGAAAGGAAGAAAAAGAAAUGAAGAAAGAAAGAAUAAAAGAAAGGAAGAAAAGAGAGGGCUGGUGAGGGACGACUGUUUGUAGCUGCUACGAUAUAAAUGAGAACAGGAACUGACUCGAAUCUGACGUUCCACAUCAUUACUGUAGAUGUAACUAGAAAUGGAUAAAAAGUACGACAGUGACAGUAACGUCUCUUCAUCUCACAAGAAACGAAGGAAAGACGGCUAUAUUUUCCCGACAGUAAUUACAAACUCACCGAGAGAUUAAACGACGCAGGCCGACGCUGUUCACGUGUUUACACGUGCGCACUACCGUCUCCAGAUCUGUCCGGGUUCACGUCACGUUGAUUAAACGUCCGCUAGCUAGCUAACGGUAGCUCGGUCACUCACACACAGACACACGCACACACACACACACACACACACACACACAUACAUAGACAUACACACACAUACACACACACACACACACACGCACACACACACACGCACACACACACACACAUACAUAGACAUACACACAUACACAUAGACACACACACACACACACGCAGACACACACACACACGCACACACACACACAUAGACACACACACACACACACAUAGACAUACACACACACGCACACACACACAUACACACACACACACAUACAUAGACAUACACACACAUACACAUACACACACACAC
ensembl:lncRNA